rnacentral:rRNA from 1 species
AGUGAACGCUGGCGGUAGGCCUAACACAUGCAAGUCGAACGGCAGCACAGUAAGAGCUUGCUCUUACGGGUGGCGAGUGGCGGACGGGUGAGGAAUACAUCGGAAUCUACUUUUUCGUGGGGGAUAACGUAGGGAAACUUACUCUAAUACCGCAUACGACCCACGGGUGAAAGCAGGGGAUCUUCUGACCUUGCGCGAUUGAAUGAGCCGAUGUCGGAGUAGCUAGUUGGCGGGGUAAAGGCCCACCAAGGCGACGAUCCGUAGCUGGUCUGAGAGGAUGAUCAGCCACACUGGAACAGAGACACGGUCGAGACUCCUGCGGGAGGCAGCAGUGGGAAAUAUUAGGCAAUGGGCGCAAGCCUGAUCCAGCGAUACCGCGUGAGUGAAGAAGGCCUUCGGGUUGUAAAGCCCUUUUGUUGGGAAAGAAAAGCAGCAGGUUAAUACCCCGCUGUUAUGACGGUACCCAAAGAAUAAGCACCGGCUAACUUCGUG